GAUUUCUUUUUAUUUAUCAUAUGCACACAGUAGUAUCAUGCUCUAUUUUUACCUGUGUUUCGUAGGUUAAUUCAGUCAAUGGUUUUAGUGAUACAUGAGUUGUGAUAAAAGCUGUGUAAAAUGGAUUUCAACCAAAAAACUAUUCACUUACUAUAUAACUAUAUUUUAUUCUGCAGCUGUAUUACCUUAAGCUUAACACAGAGUGGCAGUGGUGUGGUUUCUUUGCUGUUGGUUUUCUUGCAAUUAAAUUAGGUGAAUAGACUAUUUGUUAUCUAAGUUUAAGAAAAUAAAAUUCAUUACUUUCUUUGAUUUGUAAUGUGAAUAAACAAGUCCAGUUUAAUAGAUGCUUAAUAGAUGCCAACAAAUGAGUUAUAUUGUAUCUACUCAUUCAUCGUUGUUUCCCCUUCUUCUUUUUUUAUGCCUCUUUCUCUAUUAAAAAUUUCAUUAAUUAUUUUAUAUGUACUUCGAACUUGAAGACUGUCUGUACUCAACAAGUUGGGGAGACAUUUGUGCUCUGAGAAAUACUGAGAGCGAAGUAGAGAUCCAUAGCAAGAUUUGGAUAAGGUUUGGGAGGGAUCUUUCAGCAAAAGAAGAGAUCAUGUUGUUCAAGUAAAGGACGGUGCAUGUAGUUGAUGUUGGAUAAAGACAGGUGGGGAACUAGAUUUGAUUCCAUGGCUAAACAAAUCAAAAUUUAACUCACCAAUAAUCGCUUCAACUUUAUACGUUUGACACCAUGGCUGCACAGACUAAGUUCCGGGAAUAGUGGGAAGACGAGUUUGUAUCAAUAUGUUGGCUGUAGAAACCAAGUUCCUGCACACACUAUAUGUGGCAUGUUUAAUUUGGAACAACGUAGUUGUAUCAGCUUUUGAUGUCCCA